CCUACGGGAGGCAGCAGUGGGGAAUUUCCGCAAUGGGCGAAAGCCUGACGGAGUGACGCCGCGUGGGGGACGAAGGCCUUCGGGUCGUAAACCCCUGUCAGAGGGAAAGAAGGGUCGCCGGGUUAAUACCCCGGUGAUCUGACGGUACCUUCAGAGGAAGCCCCGGCCAACUCUGUGCCAGCAGCCGCGGUAAUACGGGAGCCAGCAGCCGCGGUAAU
rnacentral:rRNA from 1 species